rnacentral:ribozyme from 13 species
GAGAAAGGAGAGAAGAGAGAAGAGAGAGAGAGAAAGGAAAUACUAUGAAUUCCAAACUUCUUCUCUUCUUCUUGUUCUUCUCUUUCUCUCUUUUG